CAGGUCCUGGCCAUGCCAUCGGCAACCUGCUCGUCUUGUCCGUGAGGCCUUCCCAGCUGGCCGGGCUCACCCUGCAGCUCCUGCACCUGUGCCUGCCCGGGGAAUUGUGGGCCGUUUCCCACUCCUCUUCAACCGUCAGCGACAUCUUGGGCCUUCUUUUCCAGUCAGGUGGGACGGCGCCCCUAUGAGGCUGUGUCUUAUCCCUCGGAACACGGGCACCCCACAGAGGGUCCUGCGUCCUGUGGUCUGGAGCCCCCCCUCAAGGAAGAAACCCGUGCUGUCUCCUCACAACUCCAUAAUGUUUGGACACCUCAGCCCCGUAAGGAUCCCUUGUCUCAGAGGCAAGUUUAACCUUCAACUUCCUUCAUUAGAUGAUCAGGUGAUCCCAGCCAGGCUCCCGAAGACGGAGGUGAGCGCAGAAGAGCCCAAAGAAGCAACAGAGGUGAAAGACCAGGUAGAGACCCAGGGGCAGGAGGACAAUAAAAGGGGCCCCUGUAGCAAUGGGGAAGCAGCCUCCACCUCUAGGCCCCUGGAGACUCAGGGAAACCUCACUUCUUCCUGGUACAAUCCCAGGCCCUUGGAGGGAAAUGUCCACCUCAAGAGCUUGACAGAAAAGAAUCAGACUGACAAGGCCCAGGUGCAUGCAGUGAGUUUCUACUCCAAGGGCCAUGGAGUCGCCAGUUCACACAGCCCUGCUGGAGGCAUCCUUCCCUUUGGGAAGCCUGACCCACUUCCAACAGUGCUCCCUGCCCCAGUUCCGGGCUGCUCCCUGUGGCCAGAGAAGGCGGCCUUGAAGGUGCUGGGUGAAGACCACCUGCCCAGCUCUCCAGGCUUGCUGAUGGUGGGGGAGGACAUGCAGCCCAAGGAUCCUGCAGCUCUUGGAUCAAGUAGGUCUUCUCCACCCAGAGCUGCCGGCCACAGGUCCCACAAAAGAAAACUGUCGGGGCCACCGCUGCAGCUGCAACCGACCCCUCCCCUGCAACUGAGGUGUGAUAGAGACGAGCGGCCCCCACCGGCAAAGCUUCCAUGUCUAUCUCCUGAGGCACUGUUGGUGGGUCAGGCUUCCCAAAGAGAAGGACGCCUCCAGCAUGGCAACAUGCGUAAGAACAUGAGAGUGUUAAGUAGAAUAUCAAAAUUCAGGAGACUAAGACAGUUGCUUAGGAGGAGAAAGAAGACACGGCAGGGCAGGCGUGGUGGCUCAUGCCUGUAAUCCAGCACUUUGGGAGGCCCAGGCGGGCGGAUCAGGAGAUCAAGAGAUUGAGACCUGAGGAGCAUCUCUGCCUGCACCAUCUGGGAAGUGAGGAGCGCCUCUGCCCUGCUGCUCCACCAUCUGGGAAGUGAGGAGCGCCUGUGCCCGGCCACCGCACCAUCUGGGCAGUGAGGAGCGCCUCUGCCCGGCCCCCGCCCUGUCUGGGAAGCGACAAGAGCCUCUGCCCAGCAGCCUCACAGUCUGGGAAGUGAGGAGCGCCUCUGCCCAGGCCCUGCCCCGUCUGGGCAGUGAGGAGUGCCUCCGCCAGGCCGCCGCCCUGUCUGGGAAGUGAGGAGCGCCUCUGCCCAGCCACCGUCCCGUCUGCGAAGCGAGGAGUGCCUCUGCCCGGCCCCCCUACACUCUGGGAAGCGAGGAGUGCCUCUGCCCGGCCCCCCUACACUCUGGGAAGUGAGGAGCGCCUCUGCUCGGCCACCGCCCCGUCCGGGAAGUGAGGCGCGCCUCUGCCCAGCCGCCCACUAUCUGGGAAUUGAGGAGGAGCGCCGCCUCUGCCUGGCCUCCACCCCAUCUGGGAAGUGAGGAGCACCUCUGCCCAGCUGCCUCACAGUAUGGGAAGUGAGAAGCGCCUCUGCCCAGCCGCCGCCCCAUCUGGGAAACAAGGAGCGCCUCUGCCCCGCCGCCGUCCUGUCUGCGAAGUAAGGAGUGCCCCUGCCCGGCCUCCUCACCGUGUGGGAAAUGAGGAGCGCCUCUGCCCCGCCGCCGCCCCGUCUGCGAAGCGAGGAGUGCCUCUGCCCAGCCUCCUCACCGUCUGGGAAAUGAGGAGCGCCUCUGCCCUGCCGCCGUCCCGUCUGCGAAGCGAGGAGUGCCUCUGCCCGGCCUCCUCACCGUCUGGGAAAUGAGGAGUGCCCCUGCCUUGCCGCCGUCCCGUCUGCGAAGCGAGGAGUGCCUCUGCCCGGCCUCCUCACCGUCUGGGAAAUGAGGAGCGCCUCUGCCCUGCUGCCGUCCUGUCUGUGAAGUGAGGAGUGCCUCUGCCUGGCCUCCUCACCGUCUGGGAAAUGAGGAGCGCCUCUGCCCGGCCACCGUCCCAUCUGGGAAGUGAGGAGCGCCCCUGCCCAGCCGCCGCCCUGUCUGGAAAGUGAGGAGCACCUCUGCCCAGCCCCCUCACCAUUUGUAAGGGAGGAGUGCCUCUGCCCAGCCCCUGCACCGUCUGGGAAGUGAGGAGUGCCCCCACCCGGCCCCCUCACCAUCUGGGAAGUGAGGAGGGUCUCUGCCUGGCUGCUGUGCAACCUUCCAAGUGUGAAGUGACAGCCUUGUGUGUGAUCUUUCUGCCCUCCCCAGGUUUGCAUUUUCGACAUUAAAGUUUACUUUUUAAUUU
rnacentral:lncRNA from 1 species